CUGCGGAGGACUAGCCUUUAUGGCUGCUCCCGCCUUAAACUUGCUGCACGACCGCAAGCUAAUGCUAGGUUAAUGAAGUGGUGUUUACAUAUAUUUCAGCAACCGUUCAUGGCUUUGUGGCGUUAAAAAUUGAAUGUUGCCUUAUGGUGACUUUCUUGACUUUUGACCUCGAAUCAGACAAGGAUACCCGCUGAACUUAA
rnacentral:misc_RNA from 1 species